UACGGGAGGCAGCAGUGGGGGAUAUUGCACAAUGGAGGAAACUCUGAUGCAGCGACGCCGCGUGAGUGAAGAAGUAUUUCGGUAUGUAAAGCUCUAUCAGCAGGGAAGAAAGGCCGCGUAAGCGGAGAUGACGGUACCUGACUAAGAAGCCCCGGCUAACUACGUGCCAGCAGCCGCGGUAAU
rnacentral:rRNA from 1 species